UUGCAGCCACAUCACGUUGAAACAGCAUUUCCCGUACGAUCACCGAAGUUAAGCAACGUCGAGCCUGUUCAGUACCUCAUUGGAUAACCGCUGGGAAGAUCAGGUGCUGUAA